GAUGAACGCUGGCGGCGUGCUUAACACAUGCAAGUCGAACGGAAAGGCCCAAGCUUGCUUGGGUACUCGAGUGGCGAACGGGUGAGUAACACGUGGGUGAUCUGCCCUGCACUUCGGGAUAAGCCUGGGAAACUGGGUCUAAUACCGGAUAGGACCACAUUUUGGAUGGUGUGGUGGAAAGUUUUUCGGUGUGGGAUGAGCUCGCGGCCUAUCAGCUUGUUGGUGGGGUAAUGGCCUACCAAGGCGUCGACGGGGAGCCGGCCUGAGAGGGUGUACGGCCACAUUGGGACGGAGAUACGGCCCAGACUCCUACGGGAGGCAGAAGUGGGGAAUAUUGCACAAUGGGCGCAAGCCUGAGGCAGCGAAGCGGCGUGGGGGAUGACGGCCUUCGGGUUGUAAACUCCUUUCGCUAGGGACGAAGCGUUUUUGUGACGGUACCUGGAGAAGAAGCACCGGCUAACUACGUG
rnacentral:rRNA from 1 species